rnacentral:lncRNA from 1 species
AUUGUGGCUAUGGAUGGGUUCGCCUUGGGUGGAGGCCUGGAGCUUGCCCUGGCCUGCGACCUCCAAGUGGCAGCUUCCUCGAAAGUCAUGGAACUGAUUGAGAGACCACUCGAGGGCUCCUCCCAGGGACAGGAGGUACUCAGAGGCUGCCACACUGCCUGGGGGUGGCCCUGGUGAAGGAGCUCAUCUUCACAGGCUGACGACUGAGUGGGCACUGGGGUUGGUGAAUCAUGCUGUGGCCUAAAACGAGGAGGGUGAUGUCACCUACCACUGGGCACAAGCACUGGCCCAGGAGGUCCUGCCCCAGGUCCCCAUUGCCAUGCAGCUGGGCAAAGUAGCCACUGACCAAGGCAUGGACGUGGACAUUGCAUCAGGGAUGGCCACUGAAGGGAUAUUUUAUGCCCAGAACAUUCCAACCUGGGACUGGCUGGAAACAUGGCAGAGAGAACCAACCCCCAAA